rnacentral:lncRNA from 1 species
GUCCCUGCACCUAGUUGGAGGGGACUGAACGACAACGGGGCGCUACUCAGGCAACCUGGGGGACUCCCCCAAGGGCUGUCAGGCUUCAGCUGGGAGCCGAUGCAACACCCCAGCGGGGAGGGGAGGUCGGCCCAUUCUAAUCCCGACGUGUCCUUGGUCCCAGGCGCUCGGAGCAGCAUCUGAGAGGGCUCACUCUGAUCAUCAGCUGCACGUUAAGCCACAAACCGGCGUCGCUUCGGCGUUCCGGAACCCAGGCCUGGGGGCCGCGGGGAUUGCCUCUGCGUGCAACUCCGGAAAGUUUCAAGGGGUCCCCCGACUGCACAGGUCCGGAAAUCGGCUUUGAUAUGGAACUACUCCGCUCUAGCCUGGAAAGGAGACCCGCGCACUCCUCUCGCAGCUAAUUUCGGAUCAUUAAUUUAAUCGGAAAUGAGGUAACCAGUGUAGGAGACAGAGAAAGCAACCGGAGCAUCAAAUGGCAGUUCUCGAGAAUCGACGAGGAACUUAAAUCUGGACUCAGGGUUUCAGUGCGGUCUCCGACUCCCACCACCCCGCCCCUCCGCCUGUCUCGCCGCCAGGUGUGACCUCCACGCG